ACUGUGGGACGGGAUCUCCUUUUUCUUCUUCUCUCAGGCUGGCCUUUAGGCAUUGUUGUCCAAACUGUGACUUUAGCGUAGGGAGAACCUGGGCUUGCUGGCAGUGUAAACACACUCUCCAGCACAAAGAAUGCCCUGAACCCUCUAAAUUGUUUCACUGAGCACAGUCCCAAGAUCAUUUCUUGCCUAACUGUUAGCGCUGUAGUCACUUUCCCUCUUGAUCACUCCCUGAGAUUUUCCUUUUCCCUCUCAGUUCCCAUCAUCAGUGCCGGGUUUUGGGGUUAAGAUGACUUCUGAACCAAAAGAGAAGACUCUUGAGAGUCCCUUGGACUGAAAGGAGAUCCAGCCAGUCCAUCCUAAAGGAAAUCAGUCCUGAAUAUUCACUGGAAGGACUGAUGCUGAAGCUGAAACUCCAAUACUUCGGCCACCUCAUGUGAAGAACUGACUCAUUUGAAAAGACCCUGAUGCUGGGUUGUAAAAUGCCCCGUCUGAGGACUGACCGCAAAGCCCGUGUGAGGAGAUAAAGAAGCUAUGGAGGCUUUCAGAGCUGAACUCAAUUUAUCUAGAACGUUUCUUUCUUCUUUUAUUUUUUCCCCUUCAGAUCAAGAUAGUGCUUUUUCUUAUAAAUACUAAAAAAAGAAAAGAAAAAGGAAACGAAAAUCCACCUUUGUUUUCUUCCCCAUGUGUACCUUACAACCUACUGAGAUUUCUUUACUCCAGAAGCACUCUGAAGCAGUGAAACCAGGGAAUGUGAGUGAAUCACAAGGACAGAUGGUCGUUUGGGAACGAACUGGUUCCCUCAAAAGUGAGAAACAGCCUACUGUGUGACCCGGGGACUCCACUCACACUCUGCAAUGACCUAUAUGAGAAUUUUGUUCUUGUUCAAUCACCAAGUCGUGUCCGACUGUUUGAGACCCCAUGCACUGCAGCACGCCAGGCUUCCCUGCCCUUCACUAUUCUCCUAGAGUUUGCUGAAACUCGUGUCCAUUGAGUAGAUGAAUAUGAGAAUAGAAUCUAAAAAACAGUAGUUUUAUGUAUAACUGAUUCACUUUGCUCUACACCUGAAACUAAAGCAACAUCUUUAAUCAAAUAUACUCUAAUAAAAAUUAAUUAAAAAAAAAAGCUGAGCAACAAUCAGCUAACAGCCUUACUGUGACGGAGGCGUUGUGUUAUGGUGA